GAUGAACGCUGGCGGCGUGCCUAAUACAUGCAAGUCGAGCGAAGUUUUUAUGGUGUUUGCCCUAGGACAACUUCGCGGCGCACGUGUGUGUAACAUGUAUAACACCUGUCUCAUAGUCUGGGACAAUCGUGAGACACGAUAUCUAAUCCCAGAUAACAGUGUUUCUCGUGUUUCAGUUGUUUAAAAUUUGGUUACGCUAACACUAUGAGAUGGCUUUGCGGUGCAUUGGCUAGUUGGUGGGGUAAAGGCACACCAAGGCGACGAUGCAUAGCCGACCUGAGAGGGUGAUCGGCCACACUGGAACUGAGACACGGCCCAGACUCCUACGGGAGGCAGCAGUAGGGAAUCUUCCGCAAUGGGCGAAAGCCUGACGGAGCAACGCCGCGUGAGUGAAGAAGGUUUUCGGUUCGUAAAGCUCUGUUGUUAGGGAAGAAGGGAUGUGUAGUAACUAUAGCAGGAAGUGACGGUACCUAACCAGAAAGCCACGGCUAACUACGUG
rnacentral:rRNA from 1 species